CUGGCUACCAAGGCUCCCCCUGGCUGCUGGAGGAGAACAAGCUGGGCGGUGAAGGGGGUCCCCAGGAGACACAGCAGGAGGUGCUACGAAGACAGUACAGACAAGAAGAGAUGCCCACAGAGCUGGAACUGCCCACUCUCUGGAUAAACAGAAGGUAGCCAGCCAGUUCGAAAGGCCAAGUUUCUGAGCAUGGGGUGUAAUUUGUAUGGGUCACACCCAGGAGCAGCCUACAUUACCAACGCUAUGCUUCCAUCCUUGGUACCUCCAACCAUCAAGUAUGUCCAAAUUGACCACUUGGAAAGCCCCAAAGGUUCUGACUCGUGACAGCUUCCAAGUGUCAGAUUGGCAAAAGCUCUCCUCCAUCUGGUG